rnacentral:rRNA from 1 species
UACGUAGGGGGCGAGCGUUGUCCGGAAUUACUGGGCGUAAAGCGCGUGUAGGCGGGUUUAUAAGUCGGGUGUGAAAACUCUGGGCUCAACCCAGAGACUGCAUCCGAAACUGUAGAUCUUGAGGGCGGGAGAGGAAAGUGGAAUUCCUAGUGUAGCGGUGAAAUGCGUAGAUAUUAGGAGGAACACCAGUGGCGAAGGCGGCUUUCUGGCCCGAACCUGACGCUGAGACGCGAAAGCGUGGGGAGCAAAC